ACAGCACCUUCCUCCACCUGGACACCCAGGGCUGCUACCCAGGGCUCUGCCCAGGUGAGAGCUGCGAGGCCCAAGACACUGUAUUCACCCUGGACUGUGCCAACCAGUGCCCACGCAGCUGUGCCGACCUCUGGGACCGCGUUCAGUGCCUGCAGGGACCCUGCCGCCCAGCACCUGUGUCAACGGGUCCCUGGUGUGCCCACACCAGGAGUGUCCAGUCCUUGGGCCUUGGUCAGCCUGGAGCAGUUGCUCGGCCCCCUGUGGUGGGGGCCCUAUGGAGCGACAUCGGACCUGCGAGGGGGGUCCUGGGGUGGCACCAUGCCAGGCCCAGGACACAGAGCAACGGCAGGAGUGUAACCUGCAGCCCUGCCCUGAGUGCCCCCCUGGGGAAAUGUGGCAGCAGGUGGCCCCGGGGAGCUGGGGCUCUGCGAGCAGACGUGCCUGGAGAUGAAUGCCACAGAGACCCAGAGUAACUGCAGUUCAGCUCGAGCCUCGGG
rnacentral:sRNA from 1 species